GACGAACGCUGGCGGCGUGCCUAACACAUGCAAGUCGAACGGAGUACGACGCUGAUUUGAUGGUAGCUUGCUACUGGAUUUUCUUGUUGUACUUAGUGGCGGACGGGUGAGUAACGCGUGAGCAACCUGCCCUUGAGAGCGGAAUAACGUUCUGAAAAGAACGCUAAUACCACAUAAUGUGUAGCUACCGCAUGAUAGCAACACCAAAGAUUUUAUCGCUCAAGGAUGGGCUCGCGUCCGAUUAGGUAGUUGGUGAGGUAACGGCUCACCAAGCCGACGAUCGGUAGCCGGACUGAGAGGUUGAUCGGCCACAUUGGGACUGAGACACGGCCCAG
rnacentral:rRNA from 1 species